rfam:Gossypium raimondii Chr10_contig_26, whole genome shotgun sequence.
CGUUACAAAUUACAUCCAUUUUUCGUAUUAAAAACUGACGUGACAAACAUAAUAAACAGAGAGACACAUGGCAUGCCAUGUGUACCUCAUGUUGACAUAUAAUAACCAAUUUUUAACAGUAAAAAUAGACUAAAUUUUUAACA